UCCGUUAUGGUGUAGUGGCUAACAUUAUCGCCUCUCAGCCCUACGCUGGUAUAGAGUUACGCGAUAGCCCAGGGUUCGAUUCCCUGUAACGGAA